GCGCCGGUGGUCUAAUGGCAUGACAAUGGCCUUCCAAGCCGUUUAUCCGGGUUCGAAUCCCGGCCGGCGCA
rnacentral:tRNA from 1 species